rnacentral:rRNA from 1 species
AGGAUAAACGCUGGCGGCGUGCCUAACACAUGCAAGUCGAACGCGCUUUCGGGCUUCGGUGCGAGAGCGAGUGGCGGACGGGUGAGUAACACAUGGGUACCUACCUUGGAGUGAGGGAUACCGGCGAGAAAUCGCCGACAAUACCGCAUAGGCUUCUUCACAAGGGAAGCAAAGUGACGCGAGUCACGCUUUGAGAUGGGCCUGUGGCCGAUUAGCUAGUUGGGGGGUAACGGCUUCCCAAGGCGACGAUCGGUAGCUGGUCUAAGAGGACGAUCAGCCACACUGGGAUUGAGAACGGCCCAGACUCCUACGGGGGGCAGCAGUGAGGAAUUUUCCGCAAUGGAGGCAACUCUGACGGAGCAACGCCGCGUGCAGGAGGAAGGUUUUCGGAUCGUAAACUGCUUUUUCUCGGGGACGAGCAAGGACGGUACCCGAGGAAGAAGCCCCGGCUAACUACGUGCCAGCAGCCGC